CGUGUUAGUAUAUGGCUUCUGAUCUUCUCUUGUUAUGCAUGCUUAUGUUAUUUGAUUGCAAUCAUCAAGGUAUUCCUUGAGCUUUUGUAUUUCGAUAGUCUAGUUUAAAUGUUAAACUUAUUUUUAAUUAUUAAAUAUAUAUAAAAAUUUUUAAAAUUUAUAUUUCACUGUAUUACUGAAACCCAAUAGCCAACAUACAUAGCAAGGAUCUGAAUAGCUAGGGACCAAGAGAAUGUGCAGUCAAACUUAGUAGC
rnacentral:lncRNA from 1 species